CGAAAGCCUGACGGAGCAACGCCGCGUGAGGGACGAAGGCCUCUGGGCUGUAAACCUCUUUUCUCAAGGAAGAAGACCUGACGGUACUUGAGGAAUAAGCCACGGCUAAUUCCGUGCCAGCAGCCGCGGUAAUACGGGAGUGGCAAGCGUUAUCCGGAAUUAUUGGGCGUAAAGCGUCCGCAGGCGGCCUUGUAAGUCUGCUGUCAAAGAGUGGAGCUCAACUCCAUAGAGGCAGUGGAAACUGUAAGGCUUGAGUGUGGUAGGGGCAGAGGGAAUUCCCGGUGUAGCGGUGAAAUGCGUAGAUAUCGGGAAGAACACCAGUGGCGAAGGCGCUCUGCUGGGCCAUAACUGACGCUCAUGGACGAAAGCCAGGGGAGCG
rnacentral:rRNA from 1 species